rnacentral:rRNA from 1 species
GGGCCUGGCCUGAGUAUGAUGAUGAUCUGGUGAGAGCAGAUGGGAGCUUGCUCCCUGAUGUUAGCGGCGGACGGGUGAUUAACACGUGGGUAACCUGCCUGUAAGACUGGGAUAACUCCGGGAAACCGGGGCUAAUACCGGAUGGUUGUUUGAACCGCAUGGUUCAAACAUAAAAGGUGGCUUCGGCUACCACUUACAGAUGGACCCGCGGCGCAUUAGCUAGUUGGUGAGGUAACGGCUCACCAAGGCAACGAUGCGUAGCCGACCUGAGAGGGUGAUCGGCCACACUGGGACUGAGACACGGCCCAGACUCCUACGGGAGGCAGCAGUAGGGAAUCUUCCGCAAUGGACGAAAGUCUGACGGAGCAACGCCGCGUGAGUGAUGAAGGUUUUCGGAUCGUAAAGCUCUGUUGUUAGGGAAGAACAAGUACCGUUCGAAUAGGGCGGUACCUUGACGGUACCUAACCAGAAAGCCACGGCUAACUACGUGCCAGCAGCCGCGGUAAUACGUAGGUGGCAAGCGUUGUCCGGAAUUAUUGGGCGUAAAGGGCUCGCAGGCGGUUUCUUAAGUCUGAUGUGAAAGGGCCCGGCUCAACCGGGGAGGGUCAUUGGAAACUGGGGAACUUGAGUGCAGAAGAGGAGAGUGGAAUUCCACGUGUAGCGGUGAAAUGCGUAGAGAUGUGGAGGAACACCAGUGGCGAAGGCGACUCUCUGGUCUGUAACUGACGCUGAGGAGCGAAAGCGUGGGGAGCGAACAGGAUUAGAUACCCUGGUAGUCCACGCCGUAAACGAUGAGUGCUAAGUGUUAGGGGGUUUCCGCCCCUUAGUGCUGCAGCUAACGCAUUAAGCACUCCGCCUGGGGAGUACGGUCGCAAGACUGAAACUCAAAGGAAUUGACGGGGGCCCGCACAAGCGGUGGAGCAUGUGGUUUAAAUUCGAAGCAACGCGAAGAACCUUACCAGGUCUUGACAUCCUCUGACAAUCCUAGAGAUAGGACGUCCCCUUCGGGGGCAGAGUGACAGGUGGUGCAUGGUUGUCGUCAGCUCGUGUCGUGAGAUGUUGGGUUAAGUCCCGCAACGAGCGCAACCCUUGAUCUUAGUUGCCAGCAUUCAGUUGGGCACUCUAAGGUGACUGCCGGUGACCCAACCGGAGGAAGGUGGGGAUGACGUCAAAUCAUCAUGCCCCUUAUGACCUGGGCUACACACGUGCUACAAUGGACAGAACAAAGGGCAGCGAAACCGCGAGGUUAAGCCAAUCCCACAAAUCUGUUCUCAGUUCGGAUCGCAGUCUGCAACUCGACUGCGUGAAGCUGGAAUCGCUAGUAAUCGCGGAUCAGCAUGCCGCGGUGAAUACGUUCCCGGGCCUUGUACACACCGCCCGUCACACCACGAGAGUUUGUAACACCCGAAGUCGGUGAGGUAACCUUUUAGGAGCCAGCCG